rnacentral:tRNA from 3 species
GGCCAGAUAGCUCAGUUGGUAGAGCAGAGGAUUGAAAAUCCUCGUGUCGGCGGUUCGAUUCCGCCUCCGGCCACCA